rnacentral:rRNA from 1 species
UACGUAGGCAGCAAGCGUUGUUCGGAAUCACUGGGCGUAAAGGGUGCGUAGGCGGGUCUUUAAGUCAGGGGUGAAAUCCUGGAGCUCAACUCCAGAACUGCCUUUGAUACUGAGGAUCUUGAGUUCGGGAGAGGUGAGUGGAACUGCGAGUGUAGAGGUGAAAUUCGUAGAUAUUCGGCGGAACACCAGUGGCGAAGGCGACUCACUGGCCCGAUACUGACGCUGAUGCGCGAAAGCGUGGGGAGCAAACAGG